rnacentral:rRNA from 1 species
GACCAAAGAGGGGGACCUUCGGGCCUCUUGCCAUCAGAUGUGCCCAGAUGGGAUCAGCUAGUAGGUGGGCUAACGGCUCACCUAGGCGACGAUCCCUAGCUGGUCUGAGAGGAUGACCAGCCACACUGGAACUGAGACACGGUCCAGACUCUUACGGGAGGCAGCAGUGGGGAAUAUUGCACAAUGGGCGCAAGCCUGAUGCAGCCAUGCCGCGUGUAUGAAGAAGGCCUUCGGGUUGUAAAGUACUUUCAGCGGGGAGGAAGGGAGUAAAGUUAAUACCUUUGCUCAUUGACGUUACCCGCAGAAGAAGCACCGGCUAACUCCGUGCCAGCAGCCGCGGUAAUACGGAGGGUGCAAGCGUUAAUCGGAAUUACUGGGCGUAAAGCGCACGCAGGCGGUUUGUUAAGUCAGAUGUGAAAUCCCCGGGCUCAACCUGGGAACUGCAUCUGAUACUGGCAAGCUUGAGUCUCGUAGAGGGGGGUAGAAUUCCAAGUGUAGCGGUGAAAUGCGUAGAGAUCUGGAGGAAUACCGGUGGCGAAGG